AUGAAAGCUAGUGAACUUGUGACACAAAUGAAUUUGAAUCAUUAAAAGGAAUUAAAAAUUCCGCUUUCA
rnacentral:tRNA from 1 species